rnacentral:rRNA from 1 species
CACCCUUUAAAGAGUGCGUAACAGCUCACUGGUCAAGCGACGCUGCGCGGACAAUUCAACGGGGCUCAAGUCCACCCCCGACGCUACGGAUGCUGGCGGGAGACCGUCAGCGUGGUAGGGGAGCAUUCCACAGCAGGGUGAAGGCCGACCGCGAGGACGGCUGGACGAAGUGGAAGAGAGAAUGCCGGCACGAGUAGCGAAAACGCAGGUGAAAAACCUGCGCGCCGAAAGCCCAAGGGUUCCUGGGGAAGGUUAAUCCGCCCAGGGUUAGGCGGUCCCUAAGUGGAGGCCGAGAGGCGUACACGAAGGACAACGGGUUAAUAGUCCCGUUCCGCCGCAGGGGCGUUACGAGCAAUGGGGUGACGGAGAAAGCUAGGCACCGCCGGGUGAUGGAAAUCCCGGUCCAAGUGCGUAGGGAGGGGUGGCAGGCAAAUCCACCGCCCCGCCGCAAGGCAAUCCUGAAACACGAUGGGGAGGUCUUCGGACCAUAAACGGGCCGAGGCUCGGCUUCCAAGAAAACCCUCUAGCCAGUCCCUGAGGCGACCGUACCGGAAACCGACACAGGUGGGCGAGGAGAAGAUCCACAGGCGCUCGGGAGAACUCUCGCGAAGGAACUAGGCAAAAUAACCCCGUAACUUCGGGAGAAGGGGUGCCCCGGUAGGGUGUUACAGCCCGAGGGGGCCGCAGUGAAAAGGGCCAAGCGACUGUUUACUAAAAACACAGGACUCUGCGAACUCCGAAGAGGAGGUAUAGGGUCUGACGCCUGCCCGGUGCCGGAAGGUUAAGGAGAGGGGUUAGGGCCGCAAGGCUCGACGCUCUGAACCGAAGCCCCGGUAAACGGCGGCCGUAACUAUAACGGUCCUAAGGUAGCGAAAUUCCUUGUCGGGUAAGUUCCGACCUGCACGAAUGGCGUAACGACUUGGCCGCUGUCUCCGCGAGAGACCCGGUGAAACUGUAGCGCCAGUGAAGAUGCUGGCUACCCGCGACUAGACGAAAAGACCCCGUGAACCUUUACUGUACCUUGGCCUGGGACUUUGGCGGAGUCUGUGCAGGAUAGGUGGGAGGCUGGGAAGCCGGGCCGCUAGGCUCGGGGGAGCCAACGUUGAGAUACCACCCUGACUGUGCUGGAGUUCUAACCUGACGCCCUGAGCGGGCGUGGGGACAGGGCCAGGAGGGCAGUUUGACUGGGGCGGUCGCCUCCUAAAAUGUAACGGAGGCGCUCGAAGGUGGGCUCAGCACGGUUGGAAAUCGUGCGUCGAGUGUAAGAGCAGAAGCCCGCUUGACUGCGAGACGGACAGGUCGAGCAGGUACGAAAGUAGGAUCUAGUGAUCCGGUGGUUCUGAGUGGAAGGGCCAUCGCUCAACGGAUAAAAGGUACUCCGGGGAUAACAGGCUGAUCUUGCCCAAGAGUUCAUA